GACUUCUACCAAAUUAAGUAUUCUAGGGAUCAAUCACAGAGGCCUUUGAUGAAGACUGGUUUUCUUCGGCUUUGGGGGCAAAAGGUGGAUGCAAUUGAUCAUUACAUCUCUGAGAUUGAGAAACUAUCAAAAGAAAUAGCUGAAGAGAGGGAAAAAGUUGAAACGGAUCCAAAGUCUAUCUUGCCAGCAGCUUUUGUUUCUUUCAGAAGUCGAUGGGCUGCAGCUGUUUGUGCACAAACUCAACAAUCAAGAAAUCCAACUUUGUGGUUAACAGAGUGGGGCCCAGAGCCACGUGAUGUAUAUUGGAAUAACCUAGCAAUACCAUAUGUUUCACUUGCAAUUAGGAGGUUGAUAACGAAUGUCACAUUCUUUUUCCUUACCUUCUUUUUCAUGAUCCCAAUUGCAUUUGUGCAAGCUCUUGCAAGUAUUGAAGGAAUUGAGAAAAGAGCUUCUUUUCUGAAGCCCAUUAUCGAAAUAAAAUUUAUCAAAUCAGUUAUACAAGGUCUUCUACCUGGCAUUGCAUUGAAGCUUUUUCUGAUCUUCCUGCCAACAAUAUUGAUGAUCAUGUCUAAAUUUGAAGGUUUCACGUCUCUGUCAUCUUUAGAAAGGAGAUCAGCUGCACGAUAUUAUUUUUUCAAUAUUGUGAACGUAUUCCUUGGGAGCAUAAUCACUGGAACUGCAUU
rnacentral:misc_RNA from 1 species